rnacentral:misc_RNA from 1 species
GUCAUUUCGUUCCGCUCAAAUGCCACACGGCGCGCUUCAGGCGCUGCCAUGUUUACACGGGCACAUCUCCGAGUUGCAACGCUGAUCUCGACGCGAGCUCGUAGCGCCGUGAUACGUCGCGCACGGAUGAACUACAGGUGACGCCGCCGCCGCCGCCUCCGGACUCGCACACGGGGGCAUUCCCGCCUGACGGACCGGGGUUCGCUGCCCUUUCCUGACCACGCUCGCCUGUUCGCGCUUUUUGCCCUCUCCCGCUACACUGUGUUCUUCUCGAGUGAGAGAGAAGAGUCGUCACCUUUGCAACUUUUGAGCCUUCAGCGCCGGCUGACAAUGAGCGUAUCCCGUGGCAAAAUGAACGAGGACCCAGGAAGUGUGAGGCUCUCCUUCCGCGGGGGCAUUUACCGGAGCACGGCGGACGGCUCGAGCAUGUCGACGACCAACCUGGCCGAGGACGCGGCCCCGCCCGCCGUGCAGCGCCCACCCGCACUGCCGUCGCUGCCGGCGCAGGGCUCCAAGGAGCUGGACGCGGCCGACACCGAGGACACGGAGUCGGCGGGCGGGGCGGCGCCCACGCCUCGAGGGGGUGCCUGCCGAACUUUCCUGCGACACAACCGGCUCACCGUUGCCACCAUAGCGGCCGUGGUGGCCGGCAUCGUGCUCGGAGUCGUACUCAGGCCGCUAGGGCCCUUCUCAAAGCGUCAGCUGAUGUACAUCAACUUUCCUGGCGAGAUGUUCCUGCGCAUGCUGCGCGGGCUCAUCCUGCCCCUGAUCACCUCGAGCAUGGUGGCCGCCGUGGGAGCGCUGGACGCGCGCCUCUCGGGUCGAAUCGGCCUGCGCGCCGUCAUCUACUACUUCACAACCACGUUCUUGGCCAUCGUGCUGGGCAUCGUGCUCGUCACGGGUCUGCAGCCGGGCGCCGGCGACAGCGAAGCGUCCGCCUCCAAGACGUCCAAGGCGCGGCUCGUCACCACCGCCGACACACUCAUGGACCUCAUCAGAAACGCUUUCCCGCCUAACGUGAUUGAAGCCUGUGUCACGCAAUUUUCGACGAUUGUUAUCAAGCCACCAGGAAAUGCGACCAAUACAUCCAUGUACGACUGGGACUACAAGACGGUGCAAGACUCCGGCACCAAUAUUUUGGGCCUCAUCGUUUUCUGCAUCGCGCUGGGAGCCACCGUGGGCCAGAUGGGCGAGAGCGGAAAGCCCCUGCUCGACAUAUUCACCUCCCUCUCCGACGCCAUGAUGAUCAUCACCAAGCUGGUCGUCUGGUUCUCGCCCGUGGGCGUCAUGUUCCUGGUGAUGGCCAAGAUGCUGGAGAUGCAGGACUUCUCGGUAGUGGCCGGUCAAGUUGGCCUGUACGCCCUGACCGUUCUGCUGGGCCUCCUGUUACACGGCUUCGUGGUGCUGCCGCUUAUCUAUUGGCUCGUCAUGCGGCAGCCGCCGUUCCGCUUCCUGAUCGACAUGCUACAGGCCAUUGCCACUGCAUUCGGCACCGCUUCCAGUUCUGCCACGCUACCGGUGACCAUAUCGACGCUGGAAGACAAGGUGAAGGUGGACCCGAAGGUGGUCCGCUUCUGCAUCCCCAUCGGAGCCACCAUCAACAUGGACGGAACGGCACUGUAUGAAGCCGUGGCCGCCAUCUUCAUCGCCCAGGUGCGAAAGGUGCCCCUGGAUGUCGGCAAGGUCAUCGCCAUCAGCGUCACGGCAACCGCUGCCAGCAUCGGUGCCGCUGGAAUCCCUCAGGCGGGCCUGGUUACCAUGGUGAUGGUACUGAACGCUGUCGGGCUCCCUGCUGACGACAUCACACUCAUCAUCGUCGUCGACUGGUUCCUAGACCGCUUCCGUACAGCCAUCAACGUGUUGGGCGACGCCGUUGGUGCCUGCGUCGUCGAACGCCUCAGUCUGAAGGACCUGGAGAAGCCUCACAGCUCAGGUGGUCGGGGCUCCAAGGACACCGUCAUCACGUCUAUGUAGACGACAGUUGUCCUUGCUGGCCUGUCCUUAAAUGGUACAGAGGGUCGUCCACGGUCACUCUAGAUGUGAGAGGUCAAAUCGCACGCCAGGAAAAAGGCCUUUUGCGGCUCGUUUCAAACCGUGGCGUAACUCGCGUGGAUGCGGAAGCCAUGAAACA